rnacentral:rRNA from 1 species
AACGAACGCUGGCGGCAGGCCUAACACAUGCAAGUCGAGCGCCCCGCCAGGGGAGCGGCCGACUGGUGAGUAACGCGUGGGAACGUACCCUUAUCUUCGGGAUAGCCCCGUGAAACUGGAAUUAAUACCGAAUGUGCCCUUUGGUGGUAAGAUUUAUCGGCUAAGGAUCGGCCCGCGUUGGAUUCGCUCGUUGGUGGGGUAAAGGCCUCCCAAGGCGACUAUCCAUAGCUGGUCUGAGAGGAUGAUCAGACACAUUGGGCCUGAGACACGGCCCAAACUCCUACGGGAGGCAGCAGUGGCGAAUAUUGGACAAUGGGCGCAAGCAUGAUCCAGCCAUGCCGCGUGAGUGAUGAAGGCCUUAGGGUAGUAAAGCUCUUUCACCGGAGAAGAUAAUGACGGUAUCCGAAGAAGAAGCCCCGGCUAACUUCGUG